rnacentral:rRNA from 1 species
CCAGCAGCUGCGGUAAUUCCAGCUCCAAUAGCGUAUAUUAAAGUUGUUGCGGUUAAAAAGCUCGUAGUUGGAUUUCUGCUGAGAACGACCGGUCCGCCCUCUGGGUGUGUAUCUGGCUCUUUCUUGGCAUCCUCUUGGAAGACGUGUUCCACUUAACUGUGGUCACGGAGUCCAGGACUUUUACUUUGAGGAAAUUAGAGUGUUUCAAACAGGCGUUCGCCGUGAAUACAUUAGCAUGGAAUAAUAAGAUAGGACUUCGGUUCUAUUUUGUUGGUUUCUAGAACUGAAGUAAUGAUUAAUAGGGACAGUCGGGGGCAUUCGUACUUAACUGUCAGAGGUGAAAUUCUUGGAUUUGUUAAAGACGAACUACUGCGAAAGCAUUUGCCAAGGAUGUUUUCAUUGAUCAAGAACGAAAGU